UAAAGCUAAUAAGAGCGCAGGGUGAAUGCCUUGGCAUUGGGAGCCGAAGAAGGACGUGGUAAGCUGCGAUAAGCUGCGGGGAAUUGCAAGCAAGUUUUGAUCCGCAGAUUUCCGAAUGGAGCAAUCCGUCAGGAGUUAUGUCCUGACAUCAUAUACUGAAUAAAAUAGGUAUAUGAGGGGAACCGCCUGAACUGAAACAUCUAAGUAGGGCGAGGAAAAGAAAUCAACUGAGAUUCUGUUAGUAGUGGCGAGCGAAAGCGGAAGAGGCCAAACCUUAGGUAGAAAUACCUGAGGGGUUAGGACUGCAUUUAGCAUUCAGAUUUGUUAGAAGAAGCGUAUGGGAAGACGCGCCGGAGGACGUGAGAGCCGUGUAUUUGAAAACGAAUCUGAGCGAGCAGUAUCCAGAGUACCGCGGGGCACGUGAAAUCCCGUGGGAAUACGGGGGGACCACCCUCCAAGCCUAAAUACUACCCAAUGACCGAUAGCGAAUAGUACUGUGAAGGAAAGGUGAAAAGCACCCCGGGAGGGGAGUGAAAAAGAACCUGAAACCCUGUGCUUACAAGCACUGAGAGCACGUCAAUGUGUGAUCAGGUACCUAUUGUAGAAUGGUCCGGCGAGUUAUGGUAUGCAGCAAGGUUAAGUACUUAAGGUACGGAGCCACAGCGAGAGCGAGUCUGAAUAGGGCGAAUAAGUUGUAUGCUAUAGACCCGAAACCGAGUGACCUAGCCAUGUCCAGGCUGAAGUGGAGGUAAAACUCCAUGGAGGGCCGAACCGACCUCCGUUGAAAAGGCGGCGGAUGAGGUGUGGCUAGCGGAGAAAUUCCAAUCGAACUCGGAUAUAGCUGGUUCUCUCCGAAAUAGCUUUAGGGCUAGCGUUGAUUGAUGAUUACCGGAGGUAAAGCACUGAAUAGGCUAGGGGCCGAGAGGUUACUGAACCUUAUCAAACUAAGAAUGCCGGAUAAUUUAGAUCAGCAGUCAGACAGCGUGAGAUAAGUUUCGUUGUCAAAAGGGAAAGAGCCCAGACCCACAGCUAAGGUCCCUAAGUACAUUUAAGUGGAAAAGGAUGUGGGGUUGCACAAACAACCAGGAUGUUGGCUUAGAAGCAGCCAUACAUUAAAAGAGUGCGUAAUAGCUCACUGGUCGAGUGACCCUGCGCCGAAAAUUCAACGGGGCUAAAAUGUACACCGAAGCUUGGGCUUCUAGAAGCAAGAAACGAGAAGCAAGAAGCAAGAAUAGAGAUGAUGUACCAAUGAUAGGUAGCUAUAAAGACAUAAAGGCUUAUGAAAAGAGCUACAAAAUGUCUAUAAAGAUAUAUCAGGAGGUACGAAAGUUUCCUAAAGAAGAACUGUUUGGAAUGACAAGUCAGCUGAAAAGAGCAGCAGCAAGUAUUCCUUUAAAUAUAGCAGAGGGCUAUGGGAAAAGGGUAUGUCCAAAUGAGUUUAAAAGGUUUUUACUGAUGGCAAUAGGUUCAUGCGAUGAAAUGAAGGUAUUGCUUGAAAUGAGUAAAGAUUUAGGAUUUAUUGAUAUAAAGAUUUACGAAGAAUAUGUCAGUGAAUACGAAGAAAUAGGGAAAAUUCUUAAUGGCUUGUAUAAGAGGUGGGAGUAAAAAUCCUGCAUCUUGCAUCUGGUUUCUUGCUUCUGGAGGGGUAGGAGAGCGUCGUAUAAGAGGAGAAGUCAGAGCGGAAGCGCUGGUGGAUUUUAUACGAGUGAGAAUGCCGGAAUGAGUAGCGAGAAUUAUGUGAGAAUCAUAAUGGCCGAAAAUCUAAGGUUUUAGGAGGAAGGUUCGUCCGCUCCUAGUAAGCCGGGAGCUAAGGUGAGGCGGAAACGCGUAGCCGAUGCACAUACGGUUGAAAUUCCGUAGCCUCCGAAGGAUUUAAACAAAGGGACACUUUGAAAGCGAUGUUGCCGGGCGUUGGUUGCCCCGGUCGUAAGGGACCGAAAUUAAGUAGGGAAGUCAUCGUGGACGAAGGCGAGAAAAGCUUUGUGAAUAUCCAAGGAGCCCGUACCGCAAACCGACACAGGUAGAUAGGAAGAAAAUUCUAAGGCCAACGGGAGAAGGGUAGUUAAGGAACUCGGCAAGUUGACCCCGUAACUUAGGGAUAAGGGGUGCUCUCGAAAGAGAGCCGCAGAGAAUAGGCCCAGGCGACUGUUUAGCAAAAACACAGCUCUAUGCUAAAUCGAAAGAUGAUGUAUAUGGGGUGACACCUGCCCGGUGCCGGAAGGUUAAGAGGAGGAGUGAGAGCUCUGAAUUGAAGCCCCGGUAAACGGCGGCCGUAACUAUAACGGUCCUAAGGUAGCGAAAUUCCUUGUCAGGUAAGUUCUGACCCGCACGAAUGGCGUAACGAUCUGGGCACUGUCUCAACUACCCGCCCGGCGAAAUUGUAGUACCGGUGAAGAUGCCGGUUACCCGCGACUAGACGGAAAGACCCCAUGGAGCUUUACUGUAGCUUAAUGUUGAAUUUCGGUAUUUCAUGUACAGGAUAGGUGGGAGACUAAGAAGCAGGGGCGUCAGCUUCUGUGGAGUCAACCUUGGGAUACCACUCUUGAAGUGCUGGAAUUCUAACCUGCGGCCGUGAAUCCGGUCGGGGGACAUCGUUAGGUGGGCAGUUUGACUGGGGCGGUCGCCUCCCAAAGAGUAACGGAGGCGCUCAAAGGUUCGCUCAGCAUGGACGGAAACCAUGCUCUUGAGUGUAAACGCAAAAGCGAGCCUAACUGCGAGACUGACGGGUCGAGCAGUAACGAAAGUUGGAGUUAGUGAUCCGGCGGUAUGUGAGUGGAAAUGCCGUCGCUCAACGGAUAAAAGCUACCCUGGGGAUAACAGGCUGAUCUCCCCCAAGAGUCCACAUCGACGGGGAGGUUUGGCACCUCGAUGUCGGCUCAUCGCAUCCUGGGGCUGUAUUCGGUCCCAAGGGUUUGGCUGUUCGCCAAUUAAAGCGGUACGCGAGCUGGGUU
rnacentral:rRNA from 1 species